rnacentral:rRNA from 1 species
GACAAACGCUGGCGGCGUGCUUAAUACAUGCAAGUCGAACGGAAAGGCCCUGCUUUUGUGGGGUGCUCGAGUGGCGAACGGGUGAGUAACACGUGAGUAACCUGCCCUUGACUUUGGGAUAACUUCAGGAAACUGGGGCUAAUACCGGAUAGGAGCUCCUGCUGCAUGGUGGGGGUUGGAAAGUUUCGGCGGUUGGGGAUGGACUCGCGGCUUAUCAGCUUGUUGGUGGGGUAGUGGCUUACCAAGGCUUUGACGGGUAGCCGGCCUGAGAGGGUGACCGGCCACAUUGGGACUGAGAUACGGCCCAGACUCCUACGGGAGGCAGCAGUGGGGAAUAUUGCACAAUGGGCGGAAGCCUGAUGCAGCAACGCCGCGUGCGGGAUGACGGCCUUCGGGUUGUAAACCGCUUUCGCCUGUGACGAAGCGUGAGUGACGGUAAUGGGUAAAGAAGCACCGGCUAACUACGUG